AGGAUGAACGCUGGCGGCGUGCCUAAUACAUGCAAGUCGAACGGGGUGUUUGAGCAAUCGGACACUUAGUGGCGAACGGGUGAGUAACGCGUUGGUGACCUGCCCCAAAGCGGGGGAGUAACAGCCUGAAAGGGUUGCUAAUACCGCAUAUGAUGAUGAGAGACUAGAAACUUAUCAUUAAAGGAGAAAUCCACUUUGGGAGGGGCCUGCGUCCCAUCAGCUAGUUGGUAGGGUAAAAGCCUACCAAGGCGAAGACGGGUAGGGGACCUGAGAGGGUGACCCCCCACAAUGGAACUGAAACACGGUCCAUACACCUACGGGUGGCAGCAGUAGGGGAUAUUGCACAAUGGGCGGAAGCCUGAUGCAGCAACGCCGCGUGAGUGAUGAAGGCCCUCGGGUCGUAAAACUCUUUUCAAGAGGAAGAGGAAGGACGGUACUCUUGGAAUAAGCCUCGGCUAACUACGUG
rnacentral:rRNA from 1 species